UACAGAGGGUGCGAGCGUUAAUCGGAAUUACUGGGCGUAAAGGGCGCGUAGGCGGUUAUGAAAGUUGGAUGUGAAAUCCCCGAGCUUAACUUGGGAACGGCAUCUAAUACUACAUGGCUAGAGUAGAAUAGAGGGGAGUGGAAUUUCCGGUGUAGCGGUGAAAUGCGUAGAUAUCGGAAAGAACACCAGUGGCGAAGGCGGCUUCCUGGAUUCAUACUGACGCUGAGGCGCGAAAGCGUGGGGAGCAAACAGG
rnacentral:rRNA from 1 species